UUAUGAAUUAAAUUAAUUAUACAAUGAAAAUGUAGUGUUUUUUUUAAACUACAUUAGUAGAAAU
rnacentral:tRNA from 1 species